GUCGGGAGAGCGGCUGACAACACCUUUCGGGGAAAUACGCCCGCCGGCUCUCUGCGGUUUCUAACCUCCCGACAUCCCGUC
rnacentral:ncRNA from 2 species